AUACAUGAUCAUUUAGCACACUGGUGUUAAGUUCAUUCUUGCUGCAAAAGAAGGCCAUUGUACUUCCUGACCCUGAAAACAAGAUGAAACAACUGAGACACCAAAGGGUUAACUGCUUGCCCAAAGCCAUGUAGCAGCUCUGUUGGAGUUACUUUAACGUCAUAAAGCUACACAUAUACUUUUAGCAAAGUCAGUAGUCACCCAUACACAGGAGGAGAUGGUAAUUAGAGUUGGGACAGACCCCCAACAUAUGCUUCAUUUGAAGGUAGAGUAAAUUCAGCGAGAUACCAAAUUUUCUUUUCAUUUUCUCUCUCAGAAGAAUAUGUGUUUUUUUUCCCCUACCCAAAUGUUUCAGUGAACAUCGCAGCUGUGCAGCAAGAGGCAUUUUUGCAUGCAUAUAUU